AUUGAACGCUGGCGGCAGGCCUAACACAUGCAAGUCGAACGAGUGGCGGACGGGUGAGUAAGGUAUGGGAAAGUGACUGGGGGAUGGGGAUAACUACCGGAAACGGUAGCUAAUACCGCAUACCAUCGGAUGUGCCCAGUUGGGAUUAGCUAGUGGGUGGGGUAAAGGCUCACCUAGGCGACGAUCCCUAGCUGGUCUGAGAGGAUGACCAGCCACACUGGAACUGAGACACGGUCCAGACUCCUACGGGAGGCAGCAGUGGGGAAUAUUGGACAAUGGGCGAAAGCCUGAUGCAGCCAUGCCGCGUGUGUGAAGAAGGGCUUCGGAUUGUAAAGUACUUUCAGCGGGGAGGCGUUACCCGCAGAAUAAGCACCGGCUAACUCCGUGCCAGCAGCCGCGGUAAUAC
rnacentral:rRNA from 1 species